AAACAGGUUCGUUUCAUCGCUCUUAAUUUUAAGGGAGGAAAGUCCGGGCAACACAGAGCAAUAUGCCAUUUGAAAAAGUGGGUACGUCAAUAGGAAUAUAACGUAACAGAUAGUGUCGCAGAAAACCAGGUAGCCUUAAGCAAUUAAGGUCAUAGUGAAAAUGUGAGGUAAGAGCUCACAUGCGUAGUUAGUAAUAAUUACACAGGACAAACCUCUUAUGUUGUAAGGCCAUGUAAACUUUAAUUUUGUGGCUGCUCGCUGCAAUAACUUCGGUUAUAUUAAAGAGGGUAGGCUGCAUAGAUAAAUGAUGAAAGUUCUGCUUGCAGAAAACAGAACCCGGCUUAUAGAACCUGUUUUUUA
rnacentral:RNase_P_RNA from 1 species